UUUUUAUUUUUUAUUUUUAUUUUUCGAGGCAGAAUCUCACUCUGCUAUCCAGGCUGGAGUGCAAUGGUGCAAUCUCGGUUCACUGCAACCUCCACCUCCCGGGUUCAAGCGAUUCUCCUGCCUCAGCCUCCUGAGUAACUGGGAUUACAGGUGCCUGGCACCACGCCUGGCUAAUUUUAUAUUUUUAGUAGAGAUGAGGUUUCACAAUGUUGGCCAGGCUGGUUUCGAACUCCUGACCUCAGGUGAUCUGUCUGACUCGGCCUCCCAAAGUGCUGGGAUUUCAGGUGUGAGCCACUGCGCCCGGCCUGUUCUUAACAGCCGGUAGAUAUAACCCAAAUGUCCAUCAACUCAUGAAGGGAUACACAAAUUGUGGAAUAUUCACACAAUGGAAUAUUAUUCAGCCAUUAAAAGGAAGGAAGUAGAGACACAUACUACAACAUGGGUAAAACUAGAAAAGUUUUAAUGCCAAGUGAAAGAAGACAGUCACAAAAGACAGCAAAUUAUAGAACUCCAUUCAUAUGAAAGUUCAGAUUCAUGGUUGCCAAGAGAUGGGAAAAGGGGGGAAUUAGGAGUUAUGGAGUUGUUUUUUGGGAUGAUGGGAAUGUUCCGAAAACUGAUAGUGGUGACGGUUGCACAACAUUGCGAAUAUACUAAAACCACUGAAUUUCAUACUUUAAAGUGGUUUAAAUGGUAGAUUCUAUAUUUUGUGAAUUUUAGCUCAUAAAAAAAACAAUUCUUUUAAAAGAAAAGAAAAAGGAACCACUCCCUCUGGGCAGGUGUGGCUUUGCAGGCACAUGGCUUAGUAAACAAAGGGCAAACAAAGGAUUUCAGUCCCUUUUGGCCUAGUGCCCAUGUGCAGUGAACGACCUGCACAGCUGUUCUUAGUUGCCCUGUGAUGGGACAUAAAAGCUUCUGCCCACAUCUGGACCUCUAUCCGCCCCAUCUGACAGAGAGAAGUAGUGAAGAUUGAAUGCAUUUGCUGAGGCUGGAUGAAACCCCGCCUCUCCCCCAGGGAGAACUAAAUCACAGGAAUGAUUUGCACCCAAGAAGCAAAACAAGCGCCUCCACCUUAGGCAUGGCAGUUGACUUUGGCCCUAAUACCGAGACCUCUCAUUCUGCACACACCCUCCAGCUGCAAUUCCACCUAACACACCAAGCCUCUUCCACAUGCCCAGGCUUGUUCAUUCUUUCCACUCCAGCUAUGUUCUCCUCUUUGCCCUCGUACACCCCUGGAGCCUCCUAGGGACUCACUCUGUUUCCUCUCAGCCCCUCCCAGGCACGAUCCUCCCCACCAAGCCACUUCCCCAUUCUCAGAACCCUGCUCCCGGGUAACCUCUUCCUGGAACCUCCCUCAGAGGAGCUCUGCCUACCACCUGUUGUACCCUUAGCACUUGUGAAAACACCCAGUUGCUGGGUUUUACCUGAGCUCUGCCACUUCUAGGCUGCUUGGCUCUGCAAGAAUCACACAACUUCCCUGGCCUCAGUGUCCCCACCUGUCAAGCGUACAGGGCCAUGCUUACCUGCCAGGUGGGAUUUCAUGGAAUUAGGGAUGUGUAAGGCUUUGUAAGUAC
rnacentral:lncRNA from 1 species